rnacentral:lncRNA from 1 species
CUAAAUUUACCUUAAAAAACAAUUUAUAAAAUAAAAUUAUACUCAAUUACCUUUAACUUACAAAAGCAAUUUAAAAAAUAAAAUUUAUACUCAAUUACAUAUUAUAAGUUUAUUUAUAUCCAAUCAAUACGAGCUUUCCAGCAUUUCUUCUAUGCACAAAGACAACCGACAAACAGUACUACCAUAUCAAUGGCAAUGUUUGGUUCUGAAGAACUCUUCGUGGCAUUUCUUGUUUUCGUCUUAAUCUACUACUGGAGGCUCAGCAGGCACACUCCCAUCACCAACUGGCCCGUGNN